rnacentral:rRNA from 1 species
CAGCCGCCGCGGGAACACAGAGGGUGCGAGCGUUAAUCGGAUUUACUGGGCGUAAAGCGUGCGUAGGCGGCUUCUUAAGUCGGAUGUGAAAUCCCUGAGCUUAACUUAGGAAUUGCAUUCGAUACUGGGAAGCUAGAGUAUGGGAGAGGAUGGUAGAAUUCCAGGUGUAGCGGUGAAAUGCGUAGAGAUCUGGAGGAAUACCGAUGGCGAAGGCAGCCAUCUGGCCUAAUACUGACGCUGAGGUACGAAAGCAUGGGGAGCAAACAGGAUUAGAGACCCGUGUAGUCCCUGUCUCUUAUAC